rnacentral:SRP_RNA from 1 species
GCCGGGUGCGUUGGCAUGUGCCUGUAAUCCAAGUCACUGGGAGGCUGAGGUUGGUGGAUCAAGUGAGCUGAGGAGCUCUGGGCUGCAGCACGCUAUGUCGAACGGGUGUCCACGCCUAAGUUCGGUAUAGAUAUGGUGUUCCUGGGGGAGCCCGGGAACCACCAGGUUGUCCUAAGGAGGGGUGAACCGGCCCAGGUCGGAAACGAAGCAGGUCAAAUCCCCCGUGCUGUCCAGUAGUGGGAUAAUACCUGUGAGUAGAUGCUGCAGUGCAGCCUUGGCAAAACAUUGAGACCUAGUCUUUU